UAGAUCUCCCGGCGGGAGCCAGGGUAAUCCGGAUUACUUCGUGAUGUUGUGUUAUUGUAUCUUUUGCCAUUAAAUCAGCAUAUUUGUUAUAACCUUACCAAUGGUUGCUGUGAAUUCUUCCUCUGUUAAUCUGACCCAUUCACAAAAGGACGCGCAGAAGGGGGCCUUAGAGCCCCCGCCAAAGAAUGACGUCUGCUACAACAGACAAGAGCUAUAUUCAGAGCUCUGCUGCCUUGGCUACAAUCUUUCAUCGUUGCUGUUGUAUGAUUGAUGUUUAGCUACGGUAUUUAGCGUCUACAGCACCUCCGCAAUAUUUAAGAUUGUGAAGAUAACUGAUUGAAUCAAACUGGGCCACUUUGAUGGUAAAAUUGAGAUCUAUGGAUACAUCUCUCAACAUAGAUGGUUCUGGUCCACGCUCCAAUACAGGAGGUGGCGGUAAGGCAAGAAGAGGAAAAGUUCACCCGGAAGUCAGCCUCACGUGUUUCCUUCAUUUCUCCACGCGUAUUGUGCGGUAGAAAUCAAGACAGGAGCUAAUUUAUCCAAACAAGAGGAGACAGUUCACUAAACAGUGUGGGGGUGAUGGUGCAUGGGCUGCUGGUGGCUGUGUUGGAGGGAGGUGCAUCGCGCAGGGUUGGAGCUUCAUCACUCGGCUCUGCGACGACAGGGACGACAGGUGUGCGUCAUGACCUUCCUAUUGUCUUCCUGCGGAGGAAGUUGUGUGGCCUUCACACACAACUCUGUUACCUCCGGGCUGGUGGUG